UAGUUUUCAAUCAGGUUUUGA
rnacentral:piRNA from 1 species